AUUGGGUACAAAUAUUGAUGAAGGCCUGAGGAGUUGAGAAUUUUAAGAAGUCCUGGAAAUAUUUCGAACUUAAGUAUAAAGUAUACAUAAGCAGACAAGUACAUACAUAUUUUCAGAUCCACAUCUGAAGCAGAUCCACAUCAAAGCAAAUUACUCCACAAGCAAAUCCCACUAAUUAUGUGAGUUUGGCAACGACAGCAUAAUUAGUCACAAUCACUAAUUUUUAAACAGGAAACCUCACCGAAUUCACUUUCCAACGAAAUUCGUCUCCCGAAAAAGGAACUCGGGGAAAAUGCUUUUAGAAAAACCAAAGACAGCAACGCGACCACAAAAACAACUAUUACUCUGCUCGAACGCUUCAUCCCGCUCGAAUAGUAAUGAAAAAUUCCGAGAAAUUUCAAUUAUUCAACAUUUUUAACGCCGGGCAAAUGAGCAGAGCACUCUGCCUUCCCCGACUGCCCCAAAACCACAGAAGAAGAAGCCAAACUAAUUAAACACGCGUCCACCUACAAAACCAAGCCUGCUCCCCAGAAAUCAUACAAAGUUAUAUAGUCAUCAACUGCACAUCAAUCAUAGGCCGGCAAACUUGGGGCCCGCAGUCUGGGGCUCCUUUGUCUUUUCUUUGCGGGGAGAGGGGGGUAUGUAAAGUCGGAAAAUCGGAGGGAACAGGCACAGGAAAAGCGUGAAAAAUUGUCGAGCAUGACGCAGUCUCGGAACGCAUCCACACAUCCAUGGGCUGCACUUAGGCACAUUGCUAAAUUUGGACCAGCACCGAAGAAAUCCGCAUUUGCCAUGUGUAGGCAUUUUACUGAUAAUUAGCGAGCGGCCCAGCCGCGUGUUUGCCGCCCUAAUUGAUAAACGAAGGAGCCAACUUUACGAGAUGGGGAUGUUGCAACUUGCAACCGCAGUCGUUGACUACUGCCACGAAUUCCCCAUUCCCCCACCGCACUCGCUCUACCAUAAAAAUUAUCUUAAUGGACAAUUUAAGAAUCACUCAUUGUGAAUUAUGCGCUGCAUUUACCCGCCGAGUAGUCAAAGUCUGGCCACUUGAGUUGCGCUAUCGAAAUCUAGCCAAUGUCUGCUGUGUUGAAAGUUUUUCCUUUGCCUGAGGAAAGGGUAUGUUGCGGAGUUUUGGCUUAGUAUAAGUCAUAAAAGAAAAAUUGAAUAUAAAAAUCUAUAGGUACACCCUCAAAAGUGCUACAAAAAUAGGAUAAAUACCUGUGAGAUUUAGUAAAGAAUGUCUUUAACUAUAAAA